CAUGGGUUUUUUUAAAUUUUGGCACCUGCUAAAUAUAAUACACAAUGCUUAAGUUAUCGGAAAUGGGUUGUCUACCUUUCUACUACUUUUCAUCAGAAAUCUAGGCAUGCAAACUGGGGUUGAUGCCGUGUUUAGACUGAUUGAUGGGUAGAUAGAUAGAUGGAGAGAGAGGAGGACGAAUGGAGGGACGCCCGAGGAGGAUGAUUUCGAACCUGUGGUCGCAGAGUGAGAGAACCAGUCAUCCGCGUGAUGCAGCAACAGUAGCAGCUGUUGCUCACACCGAGAAGGGCGGGGGACCGUUAUCCAGACCGACGCAUCGGACUGUCCUUUGCAUGAUUAGAUGAUAAGAUAUAGGAGGGGUGGGGAGGGAAUCAGGGACGGAGCUGCUGCGAUGUGGAAAUCAGAAGAGGCACGCAGCCAGUCCCUCAUCAUGUGCGCAGUGCUGUAGAGACCCCAGGUGCCCAAGUGGCCGACUUACGGGGCCGACCGAUCUCGCGGGACGCACGGUGCCGCGCGCAGCACGAGCUUCCGUUGUUUAAUACCACAGUGCGCUGGCUUUCCCGAAGAGGAGGUCUCGAUGGGUAGCCCCGAAAAUCCAUGAGUCAGUGGACUUGACAGUUCAUUCAGGUUAUACAAGCAUAAAAUAGUGCAGAAUAGUCAGUCGAUGCCUUGAUUAUGCUCCAGUCACCUCUGGUAAGCCGGGGCAUGUCGCCGUGAACGUAUCUCACGUGGCCAGUGUCGCGGGAUUGUACUAGAAACUGACUGAGUGUAUAAGUAGAAACUGUACGAUGGGAGCCAGAGUAUCUGGAUUGGAGUGUUUUUUCAGUAACUUUGAAUGCUGUCUCACUGUUGUCUUUGUCAUCAAUUCUAGGUGGGAUGUGCAUGUAGAUGUCUUCGGUUAGUAUUUUUUUUUACGAAUGUUGUUAUUGCAUUGAAUUGACCAAGACUCUAUCUUUUCUGAGCUGUUAAUCCGAUGAAUGACUCUAAUUGUGCUCCAACAUACCACAAUUGGAAAUGUGUCAAAGAAUUCUCCUUCCUUUUCUUGAUAACGUAAUCCAAGUAAUCUUGCAUACUUCUUAACUGGUUGUCUGCUUUUGUCUCUUUCUAUUUUGAAGAUCCAUUUGGCUUGAAUGGCUUUUUCUACAGGAAGAAAGAUUGUAUGUUAUCCAAGUUUUGUUUUUCUAUAGCAAGUCUUUUUUUCUUUUUUCUUUUUUUUUUGGAUUGAUGCACUCCAUUUAGGAUCCAAAACUGCUUCUUCGUAGUUAAGUUCAUCUGGUUUGGUGAUCAAUGCAUAGUAGUCUUUGAAUUAUCUUGGGGGUCUUCAAUUUUGAGUUGGUCUAGGGUUUGAUGUCAAAUAUUGAGUAUUUAAACUUUUCUUCAUCGGUUUCCUGCACGACUUGGUUGUCUGUGCUUGGUUCUAAUGGAUUCACGAUGUUAGGAUUUUCCAGUAAGAUACCCUGUUUGAAGCUGAUGGAUUGUGCUGGUGGGCUUAUGUUUGUGAGUUCCAAAUGUUGGUUUUUCUACGUGUGAGGACAAAUCAAGAGCUUCAUCUUGCAAGUGAAUUAGAUUGUUUUUUUAUAGGUAGAUUCAAUUUUUCAGUCACAAGAAGAGGAAAUGCUAGGUCCUUAGGAAUCUGGAUCAGAGGUAGGUCAGUCAACCCCAAUUUGCUUUAUUUGCAUAUCACAUCUCCACUUUAUCAUAAUUUUUCUUUUAAGUGGGUAAAAUAGUCUGUCAGCUUUGCCAUUAGAAUCAUAACUCUUAAAGAGACAUUGAAUAGUCUUUCUUUUUAGUUUGUUUUGUUUUUGUUUUGGAAUACGUGAAAAGGCAAGGCAACCAAAACUAAGGAAGUUUAACAAAACACCAACAAUACAAUCAAGACUACAUCCUAUUUUACAUUCGUGAUUAGUGUCUUGACUGUUCGAGCUUAAGUACAGAUCAGCAGCGGGUAAUCAAAGUCUCAGUUGUUCAAAAUUAGGGCUAUGGUAACAUCUGAACAAACUAAGCUUGGUACACGUGUCGUUAUCUCAAGAUACGAUCGAACAGUGAUUCUCUCGUCCAAAGUGCUGAAAGUUCUAGAACAGAACGUGGAUGAGUACGUUUCAUUUUAACAGUAAGGUGUCAAAGUGUACUUCUAGCAAGUUUGUGCUAGUCAACUGGGUGACGGUUCUGAAUCCAAAAAAUAAACACUCACUUGCAAGUAUGCUAUUGCAAAAUGUCAACGUCCGUAAUUUCUCAUUCGGCACUGAAAUAACUGCAUUGAUGAAUGGUGUACCCUUGAUUCAUAGCAGCUCCUUCACACAGCAAGCGGGUUGUAACCAACAUGCGAGUGCAGUUUACAGAUGGUGGUGACCAAGAGAUUUAUCGGUGCUGACAACAUCAGAGUUCUAAGGGAGGCUUCGUGAUGUUGGUGUCGGUGUGUUACGCUCUCUCCACAUAGAUAAGUAUCAAGUGACAUCCAAAAUUUACUUCGGCUACACUGAGUGAAGGAAGGGGAUGUAUACAAUCAUGUAUUGUUUAUUUCUCUUACCGUUUACUAUACUAUUGUUAACGUGGACAUUUGAUUUUUAAGAGUUCGUUGCACGUUAUUACAGUUACAAAAGAUGAGCAGUGGUACUUAAAAUACAGAUGAUACAAAUCGAGAUUUGCAGGUAAAGAUGUUUCAAUCCAUAGAAAAUGUAAUUGAUAAUAUUCACAUUGCACAAGAGUUGCAGGCCCUUAGUUUACAAAUGUGACCAAACGGACGUGCAUUAUAAUAAACUUAUAAAUUUUCC